GAGAAAGAAAGGUGCUUACAUCGACAGAAGAAUGGGUCAUAUUCUUCCGUUGGCAUACAUCUGGCGCAGGCAGCCUCCUGACGCAAACAGUGACUGAGUGGAAGAUAGAGAGACCCAAUACUAAUAUCCCAGUCACCCGAGAUUAUCAACUCAGAUGGAUUCAGCUGGGAGGAGAUGUGAGGAGUUCCGUCUUAGACAGCGAGGAGGUCGGAGGAAGUGCCUGGGACGCUGGCUUCCUCACCAUCCGACUCAGCGUCGGAACAAAGUGAGACAGUUGAAUCUUCCAAUUGCUUUUCCUUCGCAGCACUGCCCAUGUGGACAACACUCGCAAGUAACAGGGAGGAACCAAUCAAAUGAGGUUCAAUGGACUUUUCCUUGGUGGGGUGACAGUAUCGCACCGCCAUUCUUCGACGCCCAGCAGAGAAGGAAGUUGAAGAGCGUCGAGAACUAUGUUUAUAUUGAAAUGCUCUCCCUUCUUUUUGAAAUGAGAUAUCUGCUCUCUCGAGUUUGGUUUCUUCAGUUGAUUCGCUUGAAUUAGUGAAGGCCUCAUCUUUAAUGGACUGUCGAUUUUGUCCACAGGCCACCAAAAUGCCAACACUGGGGCGCCUCUGAUAAGGAAGCGGUGGCAAGCCACUAGAGGAGCGCCUGCUUUCUAGUAGUGCUACGGAGGGCAGGCCAAUACUAGAACGCCUCCGUGCUUUGCUGACGAGAACUGCAGGACCAGGCUGACAGACAGUAGCAGGGUACUUCUGUCUCUUUUGCCAUAAAUGGAAAUGACGCUGGAAGAAGAAAGCCAUGCUGUUUGGAAUGGUUUAGACACACAUGCGAUGUCAUGACAACAUGAGAGGCCGUAUCUUUUGUGCAACUGGAAACAGAGCAAUGAAUGGCUACUUUGCAUUUUAUUGCACAUGGUCAACCUUGAAAGGCUAGCAGGGAGCUUUAGUUCAAUGCGCUGUUUCAGAUUUGCUGAUGACGUUGUUGAUGUACGGCGUUGCUUCUUGA